UACGUAGGUGGCGAGCGUUGUCCGGAUUUACUGGGCGUAAAGGGCGUGCAGGCGGUUUGUUAAGUGCAGGGUGAAAGCUCCCGGCUCAACUGGGAGAGGUCCUUGCAUACUGGCGAACUCGAGGGAGGCAGAGGAAAGUGGAAUUCCUGGUGUAGUGGUGAUAUGCGUAGAUAUCGGGAGGAACACCUGUGGCGAAGGCGGCUUUCUGGGCCUUACCUGACGCUGAGACGCGAAAGCGUGGGGAGCGAACCGG
rnacentral:rRNA from 1 species